GGUUCGAUCAUGGCUCAGAUUGAACGCUGGCAGGAUGCUUUACACAUGCAAGUCGAACGGCAGCACGGACUUCGGUCCUGGUGGCGAGUGGCGAACAGGUGAGUAAUGUAUCCGGAACGAUGCUAGUAGCGGGGAUAACUACGCGAAAGCGUAGCUAAUACCGCAUACGCCCUUCGGGGAAAGCGGGGGGACCUUCGGGCCUCCGCACUGUUAGAGCGGCCGAUAUCGGAUUAGCUGGUUGAUGGGGGUAACGGCUCACCGAAGGCGGCGAUCCGUAGCUGGUUUGAAGGACGACCAGCCGCACUGGGACUGAGACACGGCCCAGACUCCUACGGGAGGCAGCAGUGAGGAAUUUUGGACAAUGGGGGAAACCCUGAUCCAGCCAUCCCGCGUGUGCAGCGAAGGCCACCGAGGUUAUCUUACUUUGGCGGGAAAGGAAACGGCACGGGAUAAUACCCCGUGCAACUGACAGUACCUGCAGGGCAUAAGCACCGGCUAACUACGUGCCAGCAGCGGUAAUACGUAGGAGUGCAAGCGUUAAUCAGAUUACUGGGCGUAAAGCGUGCGCAGGCGGUUCAGAAGAAAGAUGCCGAAAUCCAGGCUUAACUUUGGAACUGCAUUUUUAACUGCAGGCUAAAGUGUGUCAGGGAGGUGGUCCCGCGUGUAGCAGUGAAAUGCGUGAAUGUGCGGAGGAACACCGAUGGCGAAGGCAGCUUCGCGGACGUCAACACUGACGCUCAUGCACGAAAGCGUGGGAGCAAACAGGAUUGUUCACCUGGUAGUCCACGCCUAAACGAUGUCAACUAGCUGUUGGGGCCUUCGGGCGUGGUAGCGCAGCUAACGCGUGAAGUUGACCGCCACCAGGAAGUACGGUCGCAAGAUUAAAACUCAAAAGGAAUUGACGGGGACCCGCACAAGCGUGGAUGGUGUGGAUUAAUUCGAUGCAACGCGAAAAACCUUACCUACCCUUUGACAUAUCUGGAAUCCCGAAGAGAUUUGGGAGUGCUCGCAAGAGAACCGGAACACAGGUGCUGCAUAGCUGUCGUCAGCUCGUAUCAUUGAGAUGUUGGGUUAAGUCCCUGUGAGCGCAACCCUUGUCAUUAGUUGCUACGAAGGGCACUCUAAUGAGACUACGGUGACAAACCGGAGGAAGGUGGGGAUGACGUCAAGUCCUCAUGGCCAUAUGGGUAGGGCUUCACACGUCAUACAAUGGUCAGGACAAGAGGGUCGCCAACCCGCGAGAGGGUAAUCCCAGAAACCCAAAAUCGUGGUCAGAUCGCGGUCUGCAACUCGACUGCGUGAAGUCAGAAUCGCUGGUAAUCGCCCGGAUCAGCAUGUCUUGAUGAAUACGUUCCCGGGUCUUGUACACACCGCCCGUCACACCAUGGGAGUGGGUUUUACCAGAAGUAGUUAGCCUAACCGUAAGGAGGCGAUUACCACAGUAGGAUUCAUGACUGGGGUGAAGUCGUAACAAGGUAGCCUGUUACUACAAGUGCUCCGG
rnacentral:rRNA from 1 species